GUAGGUUGAAGCUUACUCACAGGGAUUACAAACGAGUGCAAUUUAAUGUCACUCUUCUAUCUUUAUCCUUGGGAAGGUCUGAGAUAAAGACCAAUCGAGACUCUAGCAGGGUUCCAUGCGUUUAACGUAUGGCAGGUGAUCAGAAAGCUUCCGGCGUGAAGUGUCUUUCUUAAUGGUAAUAUUCGAGUACAAGAUCAACAUUCGUUGAGAUACUCUUAUCAUUGAGAAAGUUGUGAAAGCCUGUGGUCAGCAACAUGAAGUUCAAUGAGUGAGAUGAUUGUUUCGAUGAUCAGAACUCAAUUCAGACUACUCUCUACCGAC
rnacentral:RNase_P_RNA from 1 species